CCUACGGGAGGCUGCAGUGGGGGAUAUUGCACAAUGGGGGGAACCCUGAUGCAGCGACGCCGCGUGAGCGAAGAAGUACCUCGGUAUGUAAAGCUCUAUCAGCAGGGAAGAAAAUGACGGUACCUGACUAAGAAGCCCCGGCUAAAUACGUGCCAGCAGCCGCGGUAAUACGUAUGGGGCAAGCGUUAUCCGGAUUUACUGGGUGUAAAGGGAGCGCAGGCGGCCUGCCAAGUCUGGUGUGAAAACCCGGGGCCCAACCCCGGGCCUGCAUUGGAAACUGGCGGGCUGGAGUGUCGGAGGGGCAGGCGGAAUUCCUAGUGUAGCGGUGAAAUGCGUAGAUAUUAGGAGGAACACCGGUGGCGAAGGCGGCCUGCUGGACGAUGACUGACGCUGAGGCUCGAAAGCGUGGGGAGCAAACAGGAUUAGAUACCC
rnacentral:rRNA from 1 species